UCCCUCAUGGCUCAGAUGGUAAAGCAUCUGCCUUCAAUGUGGAAGACUCAGGUUCAAUCCCUGGGUUGGGAA
rnacentral:tRNA from 1 species